rnacentral:pre_miRNA from 1 species
GGUGCUUGAAGAGAGGUUUUCCCAGCUGAAUUCGUUUUUCUGAACGCGAAUGGCGCUCGGCCAGUCUCUCUUCAGCACC